GACGAACGCUGGCGGCGUGCCUAAUACAUGCAAGUAGAACGCACAGUUUAUACCGUAGCUUGCUACACCAUAGACUGUGAGUUGCGGACGGGUGAGUAACGCGUAGGUAACCUGCCUGGUAGCGGGGGAUAACUAUUGGAAACGAUAGCUAAUACCGCAUAAUAUUAAUUAUUGCAUGGUAAUUAAUUGAAAGGUGCAAUUGCACCACUACCAGAUGGACCUGCGUUGUAUUAGCUAGUAGGGGAGGUAACGGCCCACCUAGGCGACGAUACAUAGCCGACCUGGGAGGGGGAUCGGCCACACCGGGAAUGGGACACGGCCCAGACUCCUACGGGAGGCAGCAGUAGGGGAUCUUCGGCAAUGGACGAAAGUCUGACCGAGCAACGCCGCGUGAGUGAAGAAGGUUUUCGGAUCGUAAAGCUCUGUUGUAAGAGAAGAACGGGUGUGGGAGUGGAAAGUUCACACUGUGACGGUAUCUUACCAGAAAGGGACGGCUAACUACGUG
rnacentral:rRNA from 1 species